rnacentral:rRNA from 1 species
GACAGAGGGUGCAAACGUUGUUCGGAAUUACUGGGCGUAAAGCGCGUGUAGGUGGCGAGGCAAGUCGGGUGUGAAAGCCCUGGGCUCAACCCAGGAAGUGCACUCGAUACUGCCUAGCUAGAGUCCCGGAGAGGUUGGUGGAACUCUCGGUGUAGAGGUGAAAUUCGUAAGAUAUCGAGAAGAACACCGGUGGCGAAGGCGGCCAACUGGACGGUGACUGACACUGAGACGCGAAGCGUGGGAGACAACAGGAUUAAG